rnacentral:lncRNA from 1 species
UUAAAUCUCAUGAUUUCCUUCAAAAUUUUCAUAAAAGAUCAAAUUUCUAUUUUAAGUCCGAAACGUGUCGAACGAUGUCCGUUUUCAACCAAACUUUACAGAAAGUGCUUAAAUCAUAUAUAAGUCUUGUAUCGAGCGCCGGAGCCAAAAUACGGGCCUGAUACAAUAGUUUUCUAAUCAAAUUUCAUUUCCAAUUUCCAUAAUUAUUUCUAGAAAAUAAUUUUACUCAAAAAUUUAUUUCUCGUGCUUGGGACCUCGGAAUUUGAUUCAGGGCAUAUGUCCAAGUCUCAUAUUCUUUUACGGACCCUCCGGGAUCAAAUAAUAUGGUUAAUAGCAACCAUGAAACAUCAAGAACUAAGCCAAGGAAAGGGCUACACUCUACUCAUCCUUCAGCCAACUACAAAACCAACAACUAACAUAGAAAAAUUUUCAAUUCUUUAAAACAUCAACCCACUCCGUACACAUGCUGCACCAAGAAAAGCCAGUAGACGGAAAUCUGCUUUACAACUACAUUUUGGCCCUUCAGAAUCAAACCAUUAUCAUGUAGUUUGCUUAUCUUUUUUUAGGUUGGUUACCUUGUCCUUUUCUCACAGCUGGAAGUGUGGAAGCAAAGGAAAAUGCAGCAGCAACCAUGCAUGCAUCAGCUAUUUCUAUUGGGAACAAGUAUACAUGAAGAUGAUCAUUGAUCGGCUACUG